rnacentral:misc_RNA from 1 species
UACAACUUCCAUUUUGAAGAUCAACAGCCACUUUGUCUUCUGCUAUGCGGGAUGCAGUGGUCGACAAAUCAUUGGUUUUGUAAACAGAAUGGGAUUCAACACUUCACAUUUCUUCAAAUCUAACUUAUCCCUUCCUUCUGGUUGUGUGGUACAUAUUAUUACUACUGGGUUGUUUUUGUACAUAUUAUUACUACUGGGUUGUUUUU